CAGGUGAUUUCCAGAUCUAGGGUUUCAAUGACAUUGUAUCGUUGAUUUUCUCUCUAUCCCACAGAAGAUCCACUGGGGUUGACCUCUAGGGUUUCAAUGACACGGAAUCGAUGAUUUUCUCUCUAUUCGACACAAGAUCCACUGGGGUUGACCUCUAGGUACCGUUUUAAACCAUCUUCUCCGAGAUCGGCUGCUGCUUAUGUUAAUCCUCAUGGUCUUCUGUUCAGAUCUGGUUUUAAUACCGAGAACUAAAGGCUAGGGUUCAACUAACUGGCAGUUAACUUCUCCGAGAUCCGUUGCUGCUCGUGUUAACCCUCAUCUUCUUCUGUUCAGAUCUGGCUUUAAUACUGGUAAUCGUUUUACUGUAUAUAGUUUGAGCUAAUGAUUUUGUGUUUGAACUUUGAAUAUGUGAAUUUGAGUGUUAUUCAUGUGGAUUGUUGUUAAUUAAUGGUUAUGAGAGUUGCAACUGUACUACAAA